rnacentral:rRNA from 1 species
GAUGAACGCUAGCGGCAGGCCUAACACAUGCAAGUCGAGGGGUAGAGGAAGCUUGCUUCCUUGAGACCGGCGCACGGGUGCGUAACGCGUAUGCAAUCUACCUUUUACAGAGGGAUAGCCCAGAGAAAUUUGGAUUACUACAUCAUAGUAUUUUCGAAUGCCAUCAUCUGAUUAUUAAAGUUCCACCGGUAAAAGAUGGGCAUGCGUCCUAUUAGCUAGAUGGUAAGGUAACGGCUUACCAUGGCAACGAUAGGUAGGGGUCCUGAGAGGGAGAUCCCCCACACUGGUACUGAGACACGGACCAGACUCCUACGGGAGGCAGCAGUGAGGAAUAUUGGACAAUGGGCGCAAGCCUGAUCCAGCCAUGCCGCGUGCAGGAAGACGCAUCUAUGGUGUGUAAACUGCUUUUGUACAGGAAGAAACACUCCCUCGUGAGGGAGCUUGACGGUACCGUAAGAAUAAGGAUCGGCUAACUCCGUGCCAGCAGCCGCAGUAACAC